GACGAACGCUGGCGGCGUGCUUAACACAUGCAAGUCGAACGGACAGGCCCUGCUCUUGUGGGGUGCUCGAGUGGCGAACGGGUGAGUAACACGUGAGUAUCCUGCCCUUGACUUUGGGAUAACUUCAGGAAACUGGGGCUAAUACCGGAUAGGAGCUCCUGCUGCAUGGUGGGGGUUGGAAAGUGUCGGCGGUUGGGGAUGGACUCGCGGCUUAUCAGCUUGUUGGUGUGGUAGUGGCUUACCAAGGCUUUGACGGAUAGCCGGCCUGAGAGGGUGACCGGCCACAUGGGGACUGAGAUACGGCCCAGACUCCUACGGGAGGCAGCAGUGGGGAGUAUUGCACAAUGGGCGGAAGCCUGAUGCAGCAGCGCCGCGUGCGGGAUGACGGCCUUCGGGUUGUAAACCGCUUUCGCCUGUGACGAAGCGGGAGUGACGGUAAUGGGUGAAGAAGCACCGGCUAACUACGUG
rnacentral:rRNA from 1 species